AAGUCGUAACAAGGUAACCGUAGGUGAACCUGCGGUUGGAUCAUUAAACAUUUUUUUUUUGGCUUCCCUUUUUGCCGUCAAAAGUUGAAGGGGACUGACAAAAUUAAACCCCACCUGUGAACCAUUGAACGAUGUCAGCCGUUAUACAGUGCGCCUUGUUUUGUUGAGUUUGUCACGCUUUGCUGCGUCUGGGUGAGCGGUAACCACUCCUGAUCCCCAUUCUCAGUAGGCGGCUCUUCAUAUUAACCACUCGUAAGCCAGUGGCAUGGUGACUGCUGUGGAGACCGUGGUGUCCACACAAUAAUAACGGUUGAAGGGCUUACCGUAUACUUUUACCAUUUUUAAACCCAAAACUCUUAUUUUUUUUUCUCGUCAUGAGGAAAACCAAACAGAAACAACUUUAGACAAUGGAUCUCUUGGCUCUC
rnacentral:misc_RNA from 1 species